rfam:Triticum urartu cultivar G1812 contig847341, whole genome shotgun sequence.
UUUGUACUCCCUCCGUUCCAAAUUACUCCGUUUCAAAUUACUCGUCGCAGAAAUGGAUGUAUCUAGAACUAAAAUACAUCUAGAUACAUCCAUACCUGCGACAAGUAAUUCGGAACGGAGGGAGUAGUUU